AACGUAGGAGGCGAGCGUUAUCCGGAUUUACUGGGCGUAAAGCGCGCGCAGGCGGCUUGGUAAGUUGGACGUGAAAGCUCCUGGCUUAACUGGGAGAGGCCGUUCGAAACUGCCGGGCUUGAGGUUGGGAGAGGGGUGCGGAAUUCCCGGUGUAGUGGUGGAAUGCGUAGAUAUCGGGAGGAACACCAGUGGCGAAGGCGGCACCCUGGCCCACACCUGACGCUGAGGUGCGAAAGCGUGGGGAGUAAAC
rnacentral:rRNA from 1 species